UUGAUGAGGUGGAGUCUCAUGCUGCAAGAGUGGAAUUUAGAAUUUUCCCACAUCCCAGGAAAAGAUAAUGUUGUUGCCGAUUUUCUCUCUCGCAGCGUUGAAUAGUGGUUAUUGGCAGAGGGCUAUGCAGUUAUUAAAGGUAGUAUCUGUAUCGUUCUAGUUAUGGUGUGUGUGCUGUUGAAGUGGGCACGUAGUGAGUAGAAACAAAUGUAUAUUUAAGAUUUAUUAAUCAUGGUUUCAUUACAGAGGACGAUAAUGUUUUAGGUGUAGUAUACGGGAUAUUUAAGGUUAAAAGGUGAGGGUGAUCACUGGUAUUUGCUAAUGGUUGAUUAAAUAGGUGGUCUAAGGUUUUGAGGUGUCAGGUACGAUAAGGUUUAUAAUAAGCUAAGAAAAGAGAUAGGCACUAAUCCGGUUAUUCUGUAUUUUCAGGCUAAUAAUUACGCUUCGUCGAUUUUGUGUGUUUGUUUGCGCAGGGGAGUCUUGUGGUGGUCUUCUCUGUGUCGUUCGGUGUGUGUGUAUGUAUUGGACACUAUGGUGAUAAGUGUGAUAUAACACUGAAAUAGACAGUGGUUUUUGAGCCCAACAUUUAUUGAUAGUGAGUGAAGUGUAUCCCUGAAAUUGAACAGUGUAUUGAGUGUGGAAAAGGUUAUUGCCUUUGGACUAUAUAAACAGAAUCCGGUUGUUAGAGCCAUGACUCGCUCUUAAGUUUAGUAAUGGUGUGAGUGAUGUGAAACUCUUAGGUUGGGUAUUUAUUUAUCGAAUGGUGAUGUUGAGAGUUUCUGGUUUUGGAAACUUUUCCUGUGAAUAGUAUUAAGCUUAUGAGGUUGUUGGUAUUUGUUAUAUGCUGCUAUCCUUAUAGGCGGCUAUCCUUAUAUACUGCUAUCCUUGUGAGCUGCUAUCCUUGGUACUUGCCACCCACUUUCCUUUUGUUUAGGUCAUGUUUUUUAUGAGAAUAUUUUGCUCUUUGCAGUUUGUUUA